rnacentral:rRNA from 1 species
GGACGAACGCUGGCGGCGUGCUUAACACAUGCAAGUCGAACGGAAAGGCCCUGCUUUUGUGGGGUGCUCGAGUGGCGAACGGGUGAGUAACACGUGAGUAACCUGCCCUUGACUUUGGGAUAACUUCAGGAAACUGGGGCUAAUACCGGAUAGGAGCUCCUGCUGCAUGGUGGGGGUUGGAAAGUUUCGGCGGUUGGGGAUGGACUCGCGGCUUAUCAGCUUGUUGGUGGGGUAGUGGCUUACCAAGGCUUUGACGGGUAGCCGGCCUGAGAGGGUGACCGGCCACUGGGGGACUGAGAUAGGGCCCAGACCCCGACGGGGGACAGAGGGGGGGAAUAUGCAAGAAGGGGGGGAGGCCGGAUGCAGCAGCGCCGGGUGGGGGAGGGCGGCCUUCGGGUUGAACCCCGCUUUCGCCGGGGACGAAGGGGGGGUGAGGGUAGGGGGUAAAGAGGCCCCGGCAAACUAGGUC